CCUACGGGUGGCUGCAGUGAGGAAUAUUGGUCAAUGGACGAGAGUCUGAACCAGCCAAGUAGCGUGAAGGAUGACUGCCCUAUGGGUUGUAAACUUCUUUUAUAUGGGAAUAAAAUGUUCCACGUGUGGGAUUUUGUAUGUACCAUAUGAAUAAGGAUCGGCUAACUUCGUGCCAGCAGCCGCGGUACUACGGAGGAUCCGAGCGUUAUCCGGAUUUAAUGGGGGUAACGGGAGCGUAGGUGGAUUGUUAAGUCAGUUGUGAAAGUUUGAGGCUCAACCGUAAAAUUGCAGUUGAAACUGGCAGUCUUGAGUACAGUAGAGGUGGGCAGAAUUCGUGGUGUAGCGGUGAAAUGCUUAGAGAUCACGAAGAACACCGAUUGCGAAGGCAGCUCACUGGACUGCAACUGACACUGAGGCGCGAAAGUGUGGGUAUCAAACAGGAUUAGAUACCCCUGUAGUC
rnacentral:rRNA from 1 species